rnacentral:rRNA from 1 species
UACGUAGGUGGCGAGCGUUGUCCGGAUUUACUGGGCGUAAAGGGAGCGUAGGCGGGCUUUUAAGUGAGAUGUGAAAUACUCGGGCUCAACUUGAGUGCUGCAUUUCAAACUGGAAGUCUAGAGUGCAGGAGAGGAGAAUGGAAUUCCUAGUGUAGCGGCGAAAUGCGUAGAGAUUAGGAAGAACACCAGUGGCGAAGGCGAUUCUCUGGACUGUAACUGACGCUGAGGCUCGAAAGCGUGGGGAGCAAACAGG